rnacentral:snRNA from 1 species
AUACUUUUUUCGAUCUUUUGGCUAAGAUCAAGUGUAGUAUAUGUUCUUAUCAAUUUAAUAUUUAACACGUGAAUCAUUAAUUAACAUGAUGUUAUAUUUAUUUUUUAGGGAGAGGGCUCAUCACUAUAGCUUGCUAUUGCAGUCCUUGAGCGUUGCCUGUGUGUUGCACUAUAGCACAGGCCUGGUGCAACCCUC